AGUGAACGCUGGCGGUAGGCCUAACACAUGCAAGUCGAACGGCAGCACAGUAAGAGCUUGCUCUUACGGGUGGCGAGUGGCGGACGGGUGAGGAAUACAUCGGAAUCUACUUUUUCGUGGGGGAUAACGUAGGGAAACUUACGCUAAUACCGCAUACGACCUACGGGUGAAAGCAGGGGAUCUUCGGACCUUGCGCGAUUGAAUGAGCCGCUGUCGGAUUAGCUAGUUGGCGGGGUAAAGGCCCACCAAGGCGACGAUCCGUAGCUGGUCUGAGAGGAUGAUCAGCCACACUGGAACUGAGACACGGUCCAGACUCCUAAGGGAGGCAGCAGUGGGGAAUAUUGGACAAUGGGCGCAAGCCUGAUCCAGCCAUACCGCGUGGGUGAAGAAGGCCUUCGGGUUGUAAAGCCCUUUUGUUGGGAAAGAAAAGCAGCAGGUUAAUACCCCGCUGUUCUGACGGUACCCAAAGAAUAAGCACCGGCUAACUUCGUG
rnacentral:rRNA from 1 species